AGGAGGAACAACCCCACUGGCGGGGCCAGCUCUGGAGCCCUGGCGUCAGCUCCCGCAGUAACUGCAGUAGCUCCGGAGCUCUCCGUCUGCAGGGCCUGGAGGCUCCGGGGUGGG
rnacentral:pre_miRNA from 1 species